UACGAACUGUGCGAACGUUAUUCGGAAUCACUGGGCUUACAGGGUGCGUAGGCGGCUACUCAAGUCAGGUGUGAAAGCCCCCGGCUCAACUGGGGAGGGUCAUUCGAUACUGAUCGACUCGAAGGCAGGAGAGGGUAGUGGAAUUCCCGGUGUAGUGGUGAAAUGCGUAGAUAUCGGGAGGAACACCAGUGGCGAAGGCGACUACCUGGCCUGUUCUUGACGCUGAGGCGCGAAAGCUAGGGGAGCAAACGGG
rnacentral:rRNA from 1 species